rnacentral:lncRNA from 1 species
CUGGAACUAAAUCAUAAGUUGACGCUAUGAAGUUACAACUAGUUAUUGGGGAAACGGUCCUAAGCUAAGAACAGCUCCAUUUUUCAGUGGAUCUGUGGCUUUUGCAAGUUUGUUGAUAAUUCAUGCAGAACUUCGGCGUAUCGUAGCGUAAAGAGAUCCCGCUGCUGGCUCUGGAGCGAGUUAAUAUGGCCGGGACAUCACUUGUACUUAUGGCAGGGACUUGCCCUUUUCCUUCGCUCUACCCCUUAAUCUAUGUAACGUGUACCGAGGAGACUGUUCUGUAUCCUCUGCCUAGUUUAACAAAGAUCAGGCUGUCGGCAACACUCGACCCCUGCACCCUUCCUGCCUGGUCCCCGCCUGCCCAAGAAUCCCUUCCCCUCCCCUAAAAACCCCCGCCCCCUGUUCCCCCCCCACACACACGUCCACACCUUACCUCCCCAGGUCCCCCCCCUGGCCUCUACCCUGGACUUCAUCUGGGCAUCAUGUCAGUUGGAAGUUGCGGCUCUGUACUGGCCGGUGGAGUGCCGUCACGAGGGCCUUAUUGAGCAUCAGGCACUACCCAACCAGCACUACCCUUCAGUGAGUGAGUUCAGCUGUCCGCAGAGCUGGCGGGUCUGGUCUGGUCUGGUCUGGUGCCGUGCGACUGGAGGGACGUGGAGUGGAGAGGAGGUUGGGGUGGCGGGACGCCCGAGGAAGGAGGCGAGGGAGAAGCGGUGGCGAGGUGUGACGGCCUUCCGCCGCCUUCGUCCACAUCGCUCGGGAGGAUAAGGAGAAGGCAAAUUUUGACUUAGUCAAGGACGGGACUUCAACCCCUGGCCUGGACGGCCCCGGACGGUGCUGCUGAGACCCCUACGGAGAAAUCACAUAUGUGCGAGAACGAGGUCUAAUUCCUUAAUCCAGUCCUCACGCUUUACCCCCUUUCGCAUUAUCUCUAUACUUCUUCUCCUACAGUGUUGGUCUUGUCUUGGAGUAUCCGUCCAUGGUUUUUUCUUUUCGUCAAUCGUCUGUGCUUCAUCGUACCUACCCCCUUCGGCCCCGUCCUGCACACACGCCCUCUCUCCCCCCCCGUCGCCCACUAGGACCAUUUGCCGAUUGGUGCCGUGCUACGGCUGAAGCAUUUCUACGUGCCAUCGUAUGGCGACGUGCACCCGCUGCUGCCGCCGCCGUCAGGGGCCCAGCCCGAUGCGACUCAGGAAUACAGCAGCGGCCCAGAGAGUGACGUGUCUGAGCUGGGGCUGCGGCUGGGGCUGCGGCUGGCGGGACAUGGGGCAGCAGGGUCCGAUCUCACGGCGCCGGGGCAAUCCAACCAAAACCGCCCCGGACCUGCGCGCCUGAGCAAAGCCACCUAGGACCCGGAGGGCGAGGAGGAUCACCGCGAGGGAUUCAUGAGCCGCGGCACGGUCCAGCACAUUCACACAUAUGCAGACCACUGCAUGUCGCCAAUAUGACAUCAUCUCGUUCCACACAUGAGAUGAGGCGCGCUUCCAGGUAGCUUAAUUUUUCCUUGUUCGGUCCUUUUGGUGGUCCUUGCCCUUUUGGUGGUUCUUGGGGUACCUGAACGCGUGCAGGGGGGGGAGGUGCAGAGGGAGGAAGGAAGGGUGGUUAAGGUUAAGAAGAGGAAGGGUUUUCAAGGGGAAGGGAGGUGGGGGGGGUCUGGGGGGAGAAGAAGGUUAUGGCCGGCUCAGACAAGACGAGACUAGGGAAAGGAGGGUAGGGGCAUUGGUAGUUCGUGGUAAAAGUGUUCAGGUGAAGGAUGGUGGAUACGGCGCGAGCGAGGCGCUGCAGCGUGGCUCCUGCAAUCAGUAAGAAUUUGGAGGUGCAUGAGGGCUGCCACAGGUGUGUGAAGAAAGCCGGCGAAUCGAACAUUGGUCCAGACGUGUGAGCUGCUGAGCUGGUGAGGUCUGUUGGGAAGAGAGAAGAGCGUUAGAAGGCAGAGCAGGUGGCGAGGGUGGUUUUGAGCGUCCGGCAUCAGGGAUAAGGAACGACAUUGUAGUGUGGUAUGGUGUGUGCGAGUGUCAUUAGCGCGGGAGGCUGGGGGGAAUGAGCAGGGGGUGAAGGACAGGGAUGUUUCCAAUUUAUAUCUUUUUGGUUAUCCGUUUCCCUGAGUGUGACGCCAAACUGAGCUCAAAGCAGGUGAGAUCGGCCUUGGUUAGGCGUUCGGCAGGUGAGAUCGGCCUUGGUUAGGCGUUCGGUGUGGAUUUCGACAUCAAGGUCCCUUCACUUUGACACGAUUAAGCACGGUUAACUGGUUCUUCAGGGUCUAGCAGGAGCACAAAAUCCUCCAUGUGUCCCAGCCCGUUAUAUUUUACACAUUCCAAAGUUGCCGGGAACCUCGCGGACCUCGGGAACCUCGAAAAACUCGAAAACCUCGGGAACCUCGAAAACCUCGGGAACCUCGAAAACCUCGGGAACCUCGCGGACCUCGAAAACCUCGGAACCCUCGCGGACCUCGGGAACCUCGGAAACCUCGAGAACCUUGAGAGCCUAGGAACCUCGAAAACCUCGAGAACUGCAAAAAUGCCGUACUUCAUUUUCAGGAAUAUUAUAAUGUGUUAAUGGCUUCAGGAGCUUCCAACAUGUUUGCCUUGAAAUCUUAGGUUACAUUAUCUUGACGUCUGAUUAAGCUGCCCGCUCUCUACUGUACAAGACUGUGCAUUACCUCACCGUGCGUGUUUGAACUUAACAUUAGAUCUACCAUAAUGAGUUCUGAUAUGGCUAGAAUGCAGAUCGGGGUGGACGUGAACCCGGCAGAUGUUAACCUUGCCAUUCAGCACCACGACAAACAGAUAUUCAUCAAGUACCGCCCGCUACUUGUCAAGAUUUAUGGUGCAAGCAAUGAUGGCACGCCAGCCGGUGAAUUCUCAGGUUUUUUGUAUAGUCAAGCUGCCGAGAUCAUUGUUACUGCCGGCCACAUCGUCGGCUUCAGUGGAGUGGGGCCCCAGGGAAGGGGGCCACCUGCAGAGAAGUUCAGGGCGCGCUACGAGGACGGCUUUGAGGAGGAUGUGAUGCUAGUGAACCAUGUGCCCAACAAUGUCCCGGACAUUGCGAUACUGCGUGGCUCCCGGCGUGCACCUCUCCCGUUGCUCGGUGAUCUGUGCAGCACUGGUGAUAUUGUUUACGCCUUCGGCUUUUCGACUUUCUUUCCUAGCCCUAGCUUUAGCAAGGGCAUGGUGUCAUCCACAAGAGUGGGCCAGGUGGCCAUCACCGCUCAUGCAGACAACGGCUACUCAGGAGGCCCUGUCCUGGACUGCCGUGGACAACUGGUGGGCCUUAUUAAGGGGUCCAUCGGUACCACAAUCAUCCAGGUUGGCAUUACCCCAGCUGUGGAUCUGCAUACUGUUUUGUUGCAGUGGGGGCAGCCUGGCCUGGCCAACAGAUAACCUGUGCUAACCUAUGGUCAGCUGGGAUGCUGAACUCGCAACCAGCAUAUGACAGGCUUGCAGGGGGUCGUGGGGUGCUUUCCAUUGCUGAAUGGGUCAUGGUCACUAGUGUACAAUUGCUUGGUCAGGAUAUCAUGCUGCACUGGUACUGUGCAGUCCUCCUGUUAUGCCAAGCAUACUUGUGUGUUAGCUGAAGGUGCAGUUCAUGGGGACAGAGCAUGUCAGACAUAUGUGGGUUGGACAGUUGGAUAGGUGCAAUGAGUCAUGAUGCAGACUGAAGAGGAUCAUAGGUGCCAAAGGCGGUUGUGGGGGUGCUGAAGGCGGUUGUGGGGUGCCAAGGGGAUCAUAGGGUGCCAAGGGGGUUGAGGGGUGUCAAAAAGGGGACCAUGAUGGAUCACAGGACCACACAAAAUGCCAAUGAUUCAAACUGUGACCUAAGGUGUGGGUUGGAGAGGAGAGCUUUUGAUAUGCAUGUGGAUGGCUCAGGUGGGAAAACACAUUGAGACGUUGCAAAGCAAUUCAGAUAUGUGGUUGACAUUUAUUGACAUUGAAGUCCUGUUGGGCAGGGCCCCAGUAUGAAGCACCCACAGGAGCCACACCCUGUAGGAUUGUCCAUGUAGCCUUGUGGCUGUGUGUGGUGUGUGUAACGGAUAAGACAUGAUAUUUCGCCUGGCUGAACAUGUUAUUGGUAGUAUACUGUAGUCUUUAUUGACAGGUAUCUGGUACUGAGAGGUUUGGUACUUUCUCCAACUUGAGUAUUGUCAGACAGGGGAUUUGACCCCAGGUCUAUGUGAGACAAGUGGGAAUCUUACCCCGCAACUUGAUGCAUAUCUGGGGGUUAAUGCUGGACGUUUGGGCAUCGUCAGGAUGGCGCCGUGCGUGUUGAAGGGUGGUCCUAUCCCCACCUUGACCGUGCCUCGACCUUGCCUCGGCCUGAUACUCGGCUGCGUCUCUCGGACGUUUCCUCGGGUCCAGGGACGGUGGAUGAACACAAGGCAAGAGUUGAGUAUGCUUUUCUAUCUCAUCUUUGUAUGGAUCGGUAUUCCUUAGUAGGAAUCUCCUAGUGUGUCGAGCUAGGCUGUGAGGGUGCCCUAUGGCAGUCCGGAGACGUGUAACUCGUCAGGCUCAGUAGCUAGGGGGCAGUUGUCUGGACAGGUUACUCGCCAGAAGCUUGGUAAAUGUGCAACCUUGAAAGUAUGAUAUUUAGGCACAGAUAUGCCCGCAGAGUGUGUCAAAAGUUAUGAUGAUGUUAGUUAAAAUGUAUGGCAGCCAAUA